ensembl:lncRNA
GUCAUCUUUAUAGAGGAAGAAGAAUGAUGUAGUGCUGCAGCUUUCCACUGUGGUAAAUUUAGGGUACUCAAUUUACACCAUUAUAACUCUUCAAAAUGAUCUAAGAAAAACAGCUCUGAAGCUCAAACUUUGCUUACUUCUCAGGUGCUAAGAUUAACCUUUUGUGAAAUCUUCAUGUUAAACCUAGCUGCAAUUUGGCAGAAGUUUAAGGAGGAGAGAAUGAAAUGUUCUGGAAAUAUGACAAGGCUGCUUUAGGUAGAGAAAGAACCAAGGCUUGCACAAGAAGGAAAUACUUCUUAUUAGAUAGCAUAUUUUUGGAAGUGGUAAAGCAACUUCAGAGCAAAUCAUUCCAUUGCUGUAUUCUCUUCUUUCUCUCUCUUUCCUUUCCCUCUGUGUCUAUGCCUGCAUAUAUAUGUAUGGAUCUGACAUUCAGAAUACAGCAGUGUUCAGUAUUUCUUCUGCUCUCUGAAUUCCUUUUGCUGUUAGUUUCUUUAUAAGAGGACAGGACUUCUAGCAACAGACAACAUCUCGACUUCAACCUGUGAUGGUAACUGCUGCAUGACAAGGUAGUGUUUCCCUUUGUGGAGAAAGUAGAUGAUGAUGUGUUUGUAUUUCAGUGGAUCUUGGUGGAAGAAUGCAAUGUUUUCCUCAAUGGCUGGCUGGAGAUUACUUUGUCUCUGCCAGAUGUUUGUUUGAGGGACGAAAGGAAAGAACUGGUCUGUCUUGGAGAAGUGAGAAUAGAUUUUCUUGUCAUGUAAGGACUUGGCAAAUUAGUGUUAACUACAUGUUACGCAUAACAUUUCCAUAAGCACAUAAGAAACAGUUUAAAAAUAAAUUGGGUUUUUCUCCAUUGCAAAGUCUAGGUCUGUGCCAGAUGAAAGCCAAUGGCCUGUGUGUAGGUGCCUUCCUAAAGAGCGUGAGGGGAAGGAGUCCUGAGUGGUUCAGGACUGCCAUCUCUCUCUUUUUGGUGUUUUAUGGAAGAGAGCAGGGUAUAGUAGAAGAUCUGUAUGAGAAGCAAUGUUAUUUAUUCCAGAGAGUGUGUCUGUUGUACUAUGUGAUGUUAGAUGGCUGUGUAUGAUAUUGUCAGAAGAUAUUGUCAGGGAAUUCCUUGAUGGGAAAAUUAUUUUCUAUCACCUCUUCAUCAUUUACUGGUUUAGAACUCUGCAUUUUUGGUAAGUUUUUUGUAAAGAACUAGUUAAGCUGAAGGAGUGGACAGCAGAGCUUGUGACACAGCAGGGACAUGUCCCAUAGUCCUGGAUAAUGAAUGGAGAGACCUGUCCCUGCCCCAUGCCAAGCUGCCUGAUGGCAGCCCUGGGCUCUGCUUUGUGGCAGGAGCAGCCUGUCAGUGGGCUGCCCCCAGCCUGGGAUGAUGGAGAAGGACAGAAGGCUGCAAGACUGAUGAGAGAGGCUGUGCAGACUGAUCCAUGGAGGUGAAGGACCAGAGGUACAGGGGUCUUGUUGGGAGGGGCAGCCUGCUAAGACCCAGCUGGGCUAAAAGAGUUCAGAUUUUGUUCAGUUGAGUAACUCAGAAUUUAAAAUAUUACCUGCAGUCUGCUGCAAGGCAAUUUCAAUCUUUAAAUUUUACACAUUUCUUUUUGCUUUCAUGAACAUUACAAUCCAUUCCUCCCUACCACCCCUCUCCCCAAACACUAUUUUAAUUUAUAUCAAGAAAAAGUCCUGAUUCCACCUCUUAGGCACGUGUGCAACAGUGAGGUUGUUUUUAGAGCUGCUGGGUCCUUGUGGCUCUGGUACUUGGGUGCCUCUGGAUACCAGCCUAUUUCUCUUUCUGUGCCCAUGCGUUGACUUUGGAGUCUAGCUUUGCAUGCCUAGGCUUUGAAACUUUGGUGAAAAUGAAUACCAACACACUAUCAUGAGUGGUCUCCCACUGCAGAUGAAAACUCCAUGCAGCCAACUGCCUAAAUGUCAUCAGCUGCUUAAAGACAAAGUUUGAAUUAAUGACUCUGAUUGUGGUGGAGUUUCCUUCUGUCCCGGAUAUAAACAGAAUGUCCCAGUCAGAGUUAACUGUUAUUUUUAGCUAUAACAAAAGUGCAUCAGAAAAGCCUGUUCUGUUGCACUUGGAAAAUACCAGAUCACUCGAAGUGCCAAAUACACUGUGAGAAAAAGCAUUCCUGGAGCGGGCUUGCCCUGGAGAGCCUGCAUGAACUUUCCAAGGCUUCCGCUCCCCUCUUUUUCCCACACGGGAGCAGGCACGCUCACACGCACUCACAGGGAGCAGCCUGGAACUGCGCAGGCUGCUGGUGAGCCCUGCUCAGUGUAUCUUUUCUCAAGAGCAAAUUCUAAGAGUAUUCAGUAUGCUCAUUCACCUAAUUGAAUCAAAGCCUCUUUGCCAAGCGGUGUUAUUGCUUUGUUUGGUUAUAAGCAGAAGGUUUUCUUUAAAGGUUGAAACCCCAUUAAUAGAGUCCUUGUUUUUCUGGUUUUUGAAAAAUCUAUUACUAUGUAGUUUUCAUUUAUGGGUGAAUAGAAGAUCUGACCAUGGCCUUUCCUUAAGUCAUUGAGGCUUAUCACUAACACAACAACGGUCAUCUGUGGGAGGGUAUGGACGCACUGCAGCUCUCACAUUAUUUCAGAAUAAAGACAGGAAAUGGACCAGAGUAGAGAAAACAAGUUCUGUGGCACCAAAAUGCCCUUUCCUCCAGCAGGACACAGUGGGGGACUGUUUGGCACAGCCGACGCUGCAGCGCGGAGGACGUGGGCCAGCACU